rnacentral:rRNA from 1 species
GACGAACGCUGGCGGCGUGCUUAACACAUGCAAGUCGAACGGAAAGGCCCUGCUUUUGUGGGGUGCUCGAGUGGCGAACGGGUGAGUAACACGUGAGUAACCUGCCCUUAACUUUGGGAUAACUUCAGGAAACUGGGGCUAAUACCGGAUAGGAGCUCCUGCUGCAUGGAGGGGGUUGGAAAGUUUCGGCGGUUGGGGAUGGACUCGCGGCUUAUCAGCUUGUUGGUGGGGUAGUGGCUUACCAAGGCUUUGACGGGUAGCCGGCCUGAGAGGGUGACCGGCCACAUUGGGACUGAGAUACGGCCCAGACUCCUACGGGAGGCAGCAGUGGGGAAUAUUGCACAAUGGGCGGAAGCCUGAUGCAGCAACGCCGCGUGCGGGAUGACGGCCUUCGGGUUGUAAACCGCUUUCGCCUGUGACGAAGCGUGAGUGACGGUAAUGGGUAAAGAAGCACCGGCUAACUACGUG